rnacentral:rRNA from 1 species
GACGAACGCUGGCGGCGUGCUUAACACAUGCAAGUCGAACGGAAAGGCCCUGCUUUUGUGGGGUGCUCGAGUGGCGAACGGGUGAGUAACACGUGAGUAACCUGCCCUUGACUUUGGGAUAACUUCGGGAAACUGGGGCUAAUACCGGAUAGGAGCUCCUGCUGCAUGGUGGGGGUUGGAAAGUUUCGGCGGUUGGGGAUGGACUCGCGGCUUAUCAGCUUGUUGGUGGGGUAGUGGCUUACCAAGGCUUUGACGGGUAGCCGGCCUGAGAGGGUGACCGGCCACAUUGGGACUGAGAUACGGCCCAGACUCCUACGGGAGGCAGCAGUGGGGAAUAUUGCACAAUGAGCGGAAGCCUGAUGCAGCAACGCCGCGUGCGGGAUGACGGCCUUCGGGUUGUAAACCGCUUUCGCCUGUGACGAAGCGUGAGUGACGGUAAUGGGUAAAGAAGCACCGGCUAACUACGUG